rnacentral:rRNA from 1 species
CAGCCGCCGCGGGAACACGAAGGGGGCUAGCGUUGCUCGGAAUUACUGGGCGUAAAGGGAGCGUAGGCGGACAUUUAAGUCAGGGGUGAAAUCCCAGAGCUCAACUCUGGAACUGCCUUUGAUACUGGGUGUCUUGAGUGUGAUAGAGGUAUGUGGAACUCCGAGUGUAGAGGUGAAAUUCGUAGAUAUUCGGAAGAACACCAGUGGCGAAGGCGACAUACUGGAUCAUUACUGACGCUGAGGCUCGAAAGCGUGGGGAGCAAACAGGAUUAGAUACCCGUGUAGUCCCUGUCUCUUAUAC